rnacentral:rRNA from 1 species
CCUACGGGUGGCAGCAGUGGGGAAUUUUGGACAAUGGGGGCAACCCUGAUCCAGCCAUUCCGCGUGAGUGAAGAAGGCCUUCGGGUUGUAAAGCUCUUUUGUCCGGAGCGAAACGGGCGGCCCUAAUACGGUCGUCUACUGACGGUACCGGAAGAAUAAGCACCGGCUAACUACGUGCCAGCAGCCGCGGUAAUACGUAGGGGGCGUGCGUUAAUCGGAAUUACUGGGGGCGAAGUGGUAGCAGGGAGGUGAAAGCCCCGGGCUUAACCUGGGAAUGGCAUUUGGGACUGGAAGGCUGGAGUGUGGCAGAGGGGACUAGAAUUCCUGGUGUAGCAGUGAAAUGCGUAGAUAUCAGGAGGAAUACCGAUGGCGAAGGCAGGUCCCUGGGUUAACACUGACGCUCAUGCACGAAAGCGUGGGGAGCAAACAGGAUUAGAUACCCGAGUAGUC